rnacentral:rRNA from 1 species
AUGGUUGUCGUCAGCUCGUGUCGUGAGAUGUUGGGUUAAGUCCCGCAACGAGCGCAACCCUUUAUCGUUAGUUGCUACCAUUAAGUUGAGCACUCUAGCGAGACUGCCCGGGUUAACCGGGAGGAAGGUGGGGAUGACGUCAAAUCAUCAUGCCCCUUAUGUCUAGGGCUACACACGUGCUACAAUGGUGAGGACAAAGAGACGCAAGACCGCGAGGUGGAGCAAAUCUCACAAACCUCAUCCCAGUUCGGAUUGCAGGCUGAAACUCGCCUGCAUGAAGCCGGAGUUGCUAGUAAUCGCGAAUCAGCAUGUCGCGGUGAAUACGUUCCCGGGCCUU